AGAAGCCUGAUGUGUGUGAGAUACCCGCUGAAUUUAAGCAUAUAAGUAAGCGGAGGAAAGAACUAACUAGAUCCCUUAGUAUGGCGAUGAACAGGAUCAGCUCAGUGCCAAUCGGAUCACUGUGGUUCUGAAUGUGCUGAGCAGUACAGUGGCAUCGCGGAC
rnacentral:ncRNA from 1 species